CUCCCCAAACAUAACCAUUCCUGUGAAUUAACAAAAUACAUACUUAAAAGAUGCUACUUUAACUCUCUACUUUCAAAAUAGGCUGUGUACUUUUACACAUCUAGAAAAGCUAGAUGUUUCAAAUAAGGACUUAAGUUUGUCCAGUAUACAUACACGUAGCAGCAAUGAGUACACUGCACACAAAGGCUAUCUAGUCCAAAGUGUCAUCUAAAUAGAACCACUCUAGCCAAGAACCACACCCCUUCUCAUCUCUAGCAACCCAGUGGACAAAUCUAAUAAGCAUCUGUAAUGCUUAGAAGGGAUUUUAACAACUUCACUUCCACCAGUUGUUUUCAGAAUCUUUCCUAUGAAUUUUAAUAUAAAAUGUACCCAAUGUAUUUAUUUGCUAUUUUUUGUCACACACUGGCAAUCUCUUUAUAGAUGUUGUAAACUUGGACAUUUAUGCCUUAUGUACAGCAAUGAGAUCAAACUAGUCAAUCCUAAAGGAAAUCAACCCUUGGAAGGACUGAUGAUGAAGCUGAAGCUCCAAUACUUUGGCUACCUGAUGCGAAAAGCUGACUCAUUGGAAAAGACCCUGAUGUUGGGAAAGACUGAAGGCAGGAGGAGACGACAGAGGAUGAGACAGUUGGAUGGCACCGACUCAGUGGACAUGAGUUUGAGCAAGCUCCAGGAGAUGGUGAAGGACAGGGAAGCCUGGUGUGCUGCAGUCCAUGGGGUUGCAAAGAGUUGGACACAACUGAGCAACAAUACUUCAGUUCAGUCGCUCAGUUGUGUCCGACUCUUUGCAACCCCAUGAAUCACAGCACGCCAGGCCUCCCUGUCCAUCACCAACUCCCAGAGUUCACUGAGACUCACGUCCAUGGAGUCAGUGAUGCCAUCCAGCCAUCUCAUCCUCUGUCGUCCCCUUCUCAUCCUGCCCCGAAUCCUGCCCAGCAUCAGGGUCUUUUCCAAUGAGUCAACUCUUCACAUGAGGUGGCCAAAGUACUGGAGUUUCAGCUUUAGCAUCAUUCCUUCCAAAGAAAUCCCAGGGCUGAUCUCCUUCAGAAUGGACUGGUUGGAUCUCCUUGCAGUCCAAGGGACUCUCAAGAGUCUUCUCCAACACCACAGUUCAAAAGCAUCAAUUCUUCGGCGCUCAUGUAUACUAUAUACACAGGUAUGUAAAACAAAAUGCAGAGACACAUAAGGGACAAUGGUUAAUCUUGCUUCACUACAAACAUACUGGUAUAAACGCCCUGGUACUUUCUUUUUCCCUGAACCAGCACAAAUAAAAUAAUGUGUACUGCUCAGAGAGGUGGUUAAAUCAUUCCAUUUCUUAAAAGACAGUAAUUCAUAUGAAUUUUUUAAAAAGGAUAUAUCUACAAAAUAUAUUAUUUCAUGACCUCUAUUUUUAACAUACUUUGUGCACUUUUAAACAUCUAGAAAGACUAGAUGUUUCAAAUAAGAUGUUUCAAGUAAGACUAGAUGUUUCAAACUUAAGUUUAUCCACUAUACACACAGUAGUGUUGAAUAAACUAGACACAGGUAACAAUGGCUAUAUUCAAAAGUGUCCUCUACAAAGGAAUAUUCUAGUCUAGAAUCUUUCAUUUCUCCCAAUUCCUCCUUUUCACCAUCCAGCCAACAGUGGGCGGUAAACACAGGCACAUAUGUUACUUAGAUGUGGUUUACAAUUUCACUUCCAAAGGUCCUUUUCAGAAGACAGCCUUUCAAUGAAUUUUAACACAAAGUGUACAAAAUGUGUUAGUUUACUAACCCUAUUUUUGUCAUUCACUGGCAAUCUCUUUAAUAUCUAGAAACUAGAUAUUAUAAAAUUGGGACCCAUUUCUCCAGUAUAUAUACAUCAAAGUUAAACGAAAUACAUUUAACAUAAACGUUAAACUGAAAUGUUCUAGUACACAUCUUUUGCAAUCUUCCCUCCCACCUCCCUCAACCCAAUGAAAAAGAACAGAGUAUACUGUUCAGACAAGAGGUUUAACAAUUCCAUUUCCAGUAAGUGGUGGAUCUGUGCCAUUCAUAAAUGAAGGUGACCACAGCCUCAGGUGUGAUAUGACCAAGUCACACAGCAAGGAACAAAGAUCUAUCCGUCCAGCGUGUUGACAGCAGGAAUAGAGAUCUCCCCUUACACAUCUGAGCCAAGCAGCGGCCCAAGUAGGAAAGAAAUAUGAAGCUGUUUACAAAAGUGCUUCACUGUAACUGCGUAGAGGCUUUCACUCUGAAAAUUAGAUUUCAAAGAAAUUUAGGAGAAAGGCUAAAUCAAGAAAUAUACUAGGGAGUUACAGUUCAAGAUGAUGGAGUAGAAGCACAUGAGCUCAUCUCCUGCGAGAGCACCAAAUCACAACUAGCUGUUGAACAACCAUCAACAGGAGGACACUGGGACCACCAAAAAAAAAAAAGAUACCACACGUCUAAAGACAAAAAAGAAGCUGCAGCGAGACAGUAGGAGGGGAACAAUCAUGAUAAAAUCAAAUCCCAUACCUGCCGGGUGGGUGGCCCACAAACUGGAGAAUAAUAAUACCAAAGAAGUUCUUCCACUGUUGUGAAGGUUGUGAACCCUAUGUCAGGCCUCCCAGGCUGAGGAUCUGACAAAAGGACUGGGAAUCCCCAGGGAAUCUGACCUUGAAGACCAGUGGGAUUUGAUUACAGGACUUCCAUAGGACUGGGGGAAACAGAGAUUCCAGCCUUGGAGGGCACAAACAAAAUCUUGUGCACACCAAGACCGAGGAAAGGAGCAGCCACUCGACAGGAGACCGAACCAAAACUACCUGCUGGUAUGGAGGGCUCCUGUGGAGGCGUGGGUCAGCCGGACUCACCACAGGGAUGGGGGCACUG
ensembl:lncRNA